GCCCAGGUGGUGGAAUGGCAGACACGUAGCGUUCAGGGCGCUAUGAGCGCAAGCUCAUGGAGGUUCGACUCCUCUCCUGGGCA
rnacentral:tRNA from 1 species